CCUACGGGGGGCUGCAGUGGGGAAUAUUGGACAAUGGGGGGAACCCUGAUCCAGCCAUGCCGCGUGUGUGAAGAAGGCCCUCGGGUUGUAAAGCACUUUCAGUGAGGAAGAACGCCUGGUGGUUAAUACCCAUCAGGAAAGACAUCACUCACAGAAGAAGCACCGGCUAACUCCGUGCCAGCAGCCGCGGUAAUACGGAGGGUGCGAGCGUUAAUCGGAAUUACUGGGCGUAAAGCGCGCGUAGGUGGCUUGAUAAGCCGGUUGUGAAAGCCCCGGGCUCAACCUGGGAACGGCAUCCGGAACUGUCAAGCUAGAGUGCAGGAGAGGAAGGUAGAAUUCCCGGUGUAGCGGUGAAAUGCGUAGAGAUCGGGAGGAAUACCAGUGGCGAAGGCGGCCUUCUGGACUGACACUGACACUGUGGUGCGAAAGCGUGGGUAGCAAACAGGAUUAGAUACCCUAGUAGUC
rnacentral:rRNA from 1 species